rnacentral:lncRNA from 1 species
AUCUUUAUUUUUCUUUUUUUCCGGAAAUAAUUAUUUAAGGAUAAACUUCACAUACCCCCAUGUGGUUUCGCACUUUCUUACUUUAGUACUUUGUCAUUUAAAGUGUAUCUAGUUCGUGUCCUGUGGUUUUUAUUUUAUCUUUUUAUUAAAUUUUUCGCUAAUAUUUCGUUAAAAUUAUAUACAAAAAUCUUUAGAUACCCUACCAAAAUCUAUCGAAUAUUCAUUUUAGUAUCUUUUAAUUUUAACUUUGUCAUUAAUUUAACGAAAAAAAUUAGCAGAAUCAAUAAUAAAAAAAUAAAAAUGAAACCAUAUGGUACUAAAUUUAUACACUUCAAAGUUCAAACCGUAGGUAUUAAAAUGAAAAGGUAUGAAACUAUAUGGAUGGUAUUUGAAAUUUUUUUAUUAUUUAAAGGUUAAAAUGUAAACAUUACGGAU